ACGGCCAUGCCACAUUUAAAACACCGGUUCUCGUCCGAUCACCAAAGUUGGGCCCGGUCAGUACUUGGGAGGGUGACCACCUGGGAACACCGGGUGCUGUAGGCU